rnacentral:ncRNA from 1 species
AGUUGUUUAACUAUGGCAAUAGGAAGUGUAUGAUAGCUUAAUUGCAUAAAUUUGUUAUUUCCUAGUGGUUUAUGGGUUCUUUUCGAAUUAUUAGCAGUUAGUAUUUUAUUAGAAUGAAAAUUUUUUAAGAUGUUAUCAUGAAAAGGGGAUUGGACACAGUGCCAGCAUCCGCGGUUAAUCUGUUUUCUUUGCUUUCGUGUGGAGGUUAACCAAAUAUUUAUAACUAAGGUUAGGUGAAAUUUUCUUAGGUGGGUAUUGUUUAUUUGGUAAAUAUCAAAAUAGCGUAAAACGACAGGGAUUAGAUACCCCAGUAGUUGCUAUUAUAUUAUCUUCUAGUUUUAUAACUAAAUUAGUUUGGCAGCGAGUUACUCCCAUCGGGGGAAGGUGUGUUAUAAAGGACGAUCCGCCUAGUAAGUGACCUGUGUUAUGUUGGUGUAUAUCUGGUUAGAUAUUAUUGCUUAAUAGCUUAAUUUGUGUAUAAUUACUUAAGCCAAGUCUAUGUGCUGCAUGCACAGGGGUUCAUGCGUUACAUUAAUAAUGGUUACACUUGUAAGAGUGUGUUCUUUAGGACUCGAUAGUAUAAAAAAAUUAGUUUGUUUUUUAGAAGGGGGUUUAACUUGGGUACACACCGCCCGUCACCCUCGACUAUUGUUGAGGUAAGUCGUAACAUGGUAACCCCAAAUGAAUUUGGGGUUAAUUGUAAGAUACU